rnacentral:rRNA from 1 species
UCUUUAUUAUAUUUAAUAGGGUAGUAAAAGUUAUUCUUCAAACCCAAAGAUUUUGGCGGCAUUCUAACCAAACAGAGGAGCUUGUCUUAUAAUCGAUAAUCCCCGUUUUAUCUUACCUUUAUUUGUUUAGCUUGUAUACGUCCGUUGUCAGAUUACUCUAAAAGGAUGUUUUCUAGAAAAAUUAUUUUUUUACUUCAGGUCAAGGUGCAGUUUAUGUAAAGGGAAUGGUGAGCUACAAUUCUAAUAAGAACACGGAUUUUAAUUUAAAUUUUGACUGAAGGUGGAUUUGUUAGUAAAUUUAUUUUAGGAAAAUAAAUCGAAUAAGGCAAUAGAAUGUGU